CCUACGGGUGGCAGCAGUGGGGAAUCUUCCACAAUGGGGGAAACCCUGAUGCAGCGACGCCGCGUGAGUGAAGAAGUAAUUCGUUAUGUAAAGCUCUAUCAUCAGGGAAGAAAAUGACGGUACCUGAGUAAUAAGCCCCGGCUAACUACGUGCCAGCAACCGCGGUAAUACUUAGGGGGCAAGCGUUAGGCGGAUUUACUGGGGGUAAAGGGAGCGGAGACGGCAGUGCAAGUCUGGAGUGAAAGGCGGGGGCUCAACCCCCGGACUGCACUGGAAACUGUACGGCUGGAGUGCAGGAGAGGUAAGUGGAACUCCUAGUGUAGCGGUGAAAUGCGUAGAUAUUAGGAGGAACACCAGUGGCGAAAGCGGCUUACUGGACUGUAACUGACGUUGAGGCUCGAAAGCGUGGGGAGCAAACAGGAUUAGAUACCCUGGUAGUC
rnacentral:rRNA from 1 species